rnacentral:rRNA from 1 species
GGCUCAGAACGAACGCUGGCGGCGCGCCUAAUACAUGCAAGUCGAGCGAGAAGGUGUAGCAAUACACUUGUAAAGCGGCGAACGGGUGAGGAAUACAUGGGUAAUCUACCAUCGAGUGGGGAAUAACCAGCCGAAAGGUUGGCUAAUACCGCGUACGCCUCCGGAUCUUCGGGUUCGGAGGGAAAGCCACACUGUGAGUGCGGCGCUCUUUGAUGAGCUCAUGUCCUAUCAGCUUGUUGGUAGGGUAACGGCCUACCAAGGCUUUGACGGGUAGCUGGUCUGAGAGGACGAUCAGCCACACUGGAACUGAGACACGGUCCAGACUCCUACGGGAGGCAGCAGUGGGGAAUAUUGCACAAUGGGGGAAACCCUGAUGCAGCGACGCCGCGUGGAGGAUGAAGGUCUUCGGGUUGUAAACUCCUUUUAUUGGGAAAGAUGAUGUGGGUAACCACUUGGACGGUACCCAAUGAAUAAGCCACGGCUAACUCUGUGCCAGCAGCCGCGGUAAGACAGAGGUGGCGAGCGUUGUUCGGAAUUACUGGGCUUAAAGGGCGAGUAGGCGGUGGGACAAGUCUGAUGUGGAAUCUUAGGGCUUAACCCUAAAACUGCAUUAGAAACUGUUUUACUUGAGUCAGUGAGGGGAGGGCGGAAUUCCCGGUGUAGCGGUGAAAUGCGUAGAGA